GGGUUGAAGCAUGACCGUAAGGACAUGUGGACAGUAUGGGAGUGAGAAUGUUGGCAUGAGUAGCGAGAUGUGGGUGAGAAUCCCACAGGCCGUAAACCCAAGGUUUCCAGGGGAAGGUUCGUCCGCCCUGGGUUAGUCGGGACCUAAGCUGAGGCCGAAAGGCGUAGGUGAUGGACAACAGGUUGAUAUUCCUGUACUACCGAUAACCGUUUGAGAGAAGGGAUGACACAGUAGGAUAAGCUAAGCACACUGUUGGUUAUGUGUGCCCAAGCAUUGAGGCAGUCAAAGUAGG
rnacentral:rRNA from 1 species